rnacentral:rRNA from 1 species
GAGUUUGAUUCUGGCUCAGAGCGAACGCUGGCGGCAUGCUCAACACAUGCAAGUCGCACGGGCACUUUCGGGUGUCAGUGGCGGACGGGUGAGUAACGCGUAGGUAUCUGUCCUUGGGUGGGGGAUAACCGUGGGAAACUACGGCUAAUACCGCAUGACACCUGUGGGUCAAAGGCGAGAGUCGCCUGAGGAGGAGCCUGCGUACGAUUAGCUUGUUGGUGGGGUAAAGGCCUACCAAGGCGACGAUCGUUAGCUGGUCUGAGAGGAUGAUCAGCCACACUGGGACUGAGACACGGCCCAGACUCCUACGGGAGGCAGCAGUGGGGAAUAUUGGACAAUGGGCGAAAGCCUGAUCCAGCAAUGCCGCGUGGAUGAAGAAGGUUUUCGGAUUGUAAAGUCCUUUCGGCGGGGACGAUGAUGACGGUACCCGCAGAAGAAGCCCCGGCUAACUUCGUGCCAGCAGCCGCGGUAAUACGAAGGGGGCUAGCGUUGCUCGGAAUGACUGGGCGUAAAGGGCGCG